rnacentral:rRNA from 1 species
AUUGAACGCUGGCGGCAGGCUUAACACAUGCAAGUCGAGCGGGGUGAUGGUGCUUGCACUAUCACUUAGCGGCGGACGGGUGAGUAAUGCUUAGGAAUCUGCCUAUUAGUGGGGGACAACAUCUCGAAAGGGAUGCUAAUACCGCAUACGUCCUACGGGAGAAAGCAGGGGAUCACUUGUGACCUUGCGCUAAUAGAUGAGCCUAAGUCGGAUUAGCUAGUUGGUGGGGUAAAGGCCUACCAAGGCGACGAUCUGUAGCGGGUCUGAGAGGAUGAUCCGCCACGCUGAGACUGAGACACGGCCCAGACUCCUACGGGAGGCAGCAGUGGGGAAUAUUGGACAAUGGGGGCAACCCUGAUCCAGCGACGCCGCGUGUGUGAAGAAGGCCUGCGGGUUGUAAAGCACUUUUAGUGGGGACAAAAAGCCGAGGGCUAAUACCUUUCGGUCUUGAUUUAACCCAAAGAAAAAGCACCGGCUAACUCUGUGCCAGCCGCCGCCGUAA